rnacentral:rRNA from 1 species
GGGUUUCCGCCCCUUAGUGCUGCAGCUAACGCAUUAAGCACUCCGCCUGGGGAGUACGACCGCAAGGUUGAAACUCAAAGGAAUUGACGGGGACCCGCACAAGCGGUGGAGCAUGUGGUUUAAUUMGAAGCAACGCGAAGAACCUUACCAAAUCUUGACAUCCUCUGACCCCUCUAGAGAUAGAGUUUUCCCCUUCGGGGGACAGAGUGACAGGUGGUGCAUGGUUGUCGUCAGCUCGUGUCGUGAGAUGUUGGGUUAAGUCCCGCAACGAGCGCAACCCUUAAGCUUAGUUGCCAUCAUUAAGUUGGGCACUCUAAGUUGACUGCCGGUGACAAACCGGAGGAAGGUGGGGAUGACGUCAAAUCAUCAUGCCCCUUAUGAUUUGGGCUACACACGUGCUACAAUGGACAAUACAAAGGGCAGCGAAACCGCGAGGUCAAGCAAAUCCCAUAAAGUUGUUCUCAGUUCGGAUUGUAGUCUGCAACUCGACUAUAUGAAGCUGGAAUCGCUAGUAAUCGUAGAUCAGCAUGCUACGGUGA